rnacentral:lncRNA from 10 species
CGGUGGCUAAUGAUGACAACAGCAACAGCACUGAGCACAGAAAACUCCACAGGCCUGGGCUCGGCUCAUCGCACAGCCUCCAUCUCUGGAUGCCCUGUGAGGGUUCUGUCAUUAUCCACAUUUUAGAGAUGAGGAAACUGAGGCUUAAAAGGGCUAAGUGACCAACCCACUGACACAGCGAUUCGAGCUUAGGCUGGCCCAUCCCAGACCUGGACUGCCCACCUCUCUCCCCUUUCGCAGCCGACCUGGCUGCCAGCUCUCGUCCUUCCUCUGCGGGGUUUGGCUUUUCCCUCCUCUCUUCCCCAGGUGGUCCCGUCCCGGGCACUGCCUCGAGUCUCACGGUGUGCAGGGCCAGGCAGACGAGCUGCUGACUGCAGCUUCGCUGUAAUCUACCGACUCUAACGGCAGCUCAGCUCGCACGGGGCUAGCACAGCGAACACGUGCGCACGGGGAUGGGCGGAGAACCGAGUGACGACAGCAAAGAGCCAGGGGGAGCCAGGAAAAGCUCGAAAAUCAGCGUAACGCUGUUGGAGAUGAGAGGGCACAGCACAAUUUUGAGAGCCAAACAAAGGCGGGGCACAGAGCUGUUGCCUCGAGAUGUGUGGCCUCAGAAGGUCUUGUCGAGGCGAGUGAUGAAAGGGAGGAGGUUCCCGAGGAUACUGGAGCCGGAAGACGCGGCGAGGGUCCGGGAUUCAAGGAGAUUCAAAACCCGUGUCACUGCUGCCAUCUUCCUAGAAUCCCUUUAAAUCCUCAUGGAUUUGCUGACAUUGGGAGCAUCCUGAAAGAGUCCCCAUGCUAGGGUGGCUGCAGUAACAGGUUCUCCCCACUCCAGAAAAAAUCAAAUCAGAUUGUGAAUUUAUUCCCUGACAUUAACACACGGCAUUACAGGAGCAUGUACAUCACAUGGUCAAUUUAUUGGCAUGAGGAUUAUGUCAUCGGGGAAUAAAUGGGAAAUUCUCAAGGUACUUUGCUCGUGGCCCAGGCCUGUAGGCUUCCAGUGAGAAAACUGGAGACCACACUCACCCGUCCCACUGCCGUUUCUUUGGGGCUGCCUGUGAUACUGGGUUAUUCCCCUUGCCGAGUUCCACUGUGCUUACCCUGUUGGAAUAUGAUGGUGGACUUGCCAGAGGAGAUGACCAUGAUUUUCAGGAACAGCAGCCCCUCCUUCCUGGUUGAGGCAGCCAGCAGGCACUCCUAUCCAUGAGCCACAGCUCAGCUAAGGCAAUCCAGUCCAGCUGCAUGCCCUCUCUCUGCUUCUGGGGAGGUAGGAAGGACCAGGGGCAUUCAUGCUUGUUUCUAGGGGGCCCUAACUGGAUCUCUGGAUCAAGACCUACUCAGGGGAGAAAGACUACUCUGGGUUCCAUGUUAGGACUGACGGGUGCAUCUUAACUGAGAUGCAGACAGUGGACAAUUCGAACUCUGACCUGAGAGCAAGCCCCAGCCUUGGUGCUCAUAAAUGCUCCGCUUGGUCCUUCACAUUUGUGUUCCACACAGGAGAAGCCAAGUUGUGAGCAGUGCACCUUCACAAGCAAAGCCUCGACUGAAAUCUUCUCUAACAAUUGGCUGGUCACUCCUGAGCGUAAUCUACCCCUUCAGAACACUGGGGAUGAAUUUAGAGACAUCGAAGCCUCCUGAUGAGAAAUACGUGUCCACUCACCGGGAGAACUGAAAUACCAGGAGAUUUCUACACAAAUCUCACAGAGUCCUUCUGGCGUCCUAGGGGUUUGCUCACAUAUAAGGGACUUUCUGGUAGGAAGAGAGUCUCUUUACAUUCUUUAUUAUAUGAUCCUGGUGGCUUUGUAGAGAGAUGGUACAGCUGACAGAUCAUGUCCUGUGGGGCCAGGGAGUUGUGUGUGUGUGAAUGCUCUGUGAACUUGGGCAAACUACUUAGCCUCUCUGAGCCUUAGCUGCAUCAGCUUUGAAAAACAGGAUGAUAAAAUGGAGUCACCUUAUUUGACUUUUAUAAAUACACUUACACAAUUACACAAGUUGUGGGGAUGGGAAGAGAGAGUUGGGGAAAGAGAAAUGAGAGAGAGAGAGAGAGAGAAUGAAUGAUAAACAAUUUAAACAACAGUGGGGUGUAGACCAACGCCCAGCCUGGCAAGGGUGAGCCCAGAGAGCCUUCCCUCCUGGCUAUUGGCAGCCUCCGCAUGGAAGCCUGUCGUUGACUUCUUAAUGAUGAGAGAUGUUCUGGGGGCACUCCAGGAUUCUUGGACAUGGGAUCGUCUUCACAGCUGUGUCUAUUGAAAGCUGAAGUUUCAGUCUCCCCUGCCCCCUGCCCCCUGGAGUGGCUUCCCAGGGGAAAUUCAAGGGCACCUGUGACUGCAUGGCUGCUUUCCUUUCCUUUACUCAAUGCCGUCCUUUGGUGACAGCCGUGUCUCAUGCCAGGAUACAUGAGGUGCUCUAUAGUAGUAUGUUUUCCCUCCUGGGAGGUAAUUUUAUUUAAAUGUGAAGUCAAAAGGAUCACUAAAUAGAACCAUGAGGCAACCACUCUGGGCACCUGCCUGGUGAUAUCCACAAGAGCUGACCACAGGUGCCCCCUGUGCCCAGCAAGUCCUUGGCUGGGCAGUCACACAACAGGCAUGGGGAUGUGUGGCCACCAAGCCCUCCAGGGCAGUGCUAUUUGUAAUAGUCCCAAAUGGGAGAGAUGGCAAACGCCCGCCAAUGGGGCAGCAUGGAUAAAUGGAUGCUGCACAGCAACGGCGAUGAGUGAGCCCCAGCACCCGUGAGCUCACCAGUGUAAUAUUGGGUGGAAGAAGCCAGGAGGAAGGGCAUUCACAUUCUGUGAUUCCAGCUACACUAUGUUUAAAUAUGGGCAGAGCUAGGCUGUGGUGCUGGAAGCCAGGACAGUGGGAUCCUUGCAUGGGGGUGAUGGUGCUGGUAGGUUCUGGUAAUUUCCUCUUCUUGAUCUGGGUGUAAACAUUUUGUGAAAAUUCAAUGAGCUGUACAUUUAUGACUGGUACAUUUAUGACUUUGUAUGAAUAUUAUACUUUCAUAAAACUACUUUAAAAUAUGAUUGUGAACCUUUUUUCACCUAUUUUCUGCCAAUUAGCACCGAAUUGCUCACUAACUAAUGAGUGGUGCUGGUUUUGACUUGCUUGCUACACUGUCUUGAGACAGAUAGGGUUUUCUGUGCUUUGUAUGACCCCCUCUGGAACCAGGGUGGGACUGGGAACACUCGGAAAACAUGUGCUGACAGAUGCUGGGCAUCCCCGUGUUGGUGGAGGCAUGCUCAUUCCUCAGCAAAAUACCCAUAUGGGGUGUUGGCAGGAAAGAGGACAGAAAAGGACAAAGUAUUUGUCUCUGCUAGCGUUCCUGGAGCUGUCUCACCUUGGCCAAGCCCCCGCCCAGUCCUCUCCUAACGUGGACAGACUAGGGGGCAGAAACUAGUCAGCCAAAGAAUUUCCAAGCUAGGGGUUGAUGAAUGCUUGGAUAAUUUGCCCAUGAACACGUUGGAUUCUUCUUCACUUGCCAUCACGGGGGGAUAAGUACCCCAGUUUUUUUUUGGAGAGAAUUGAGGGACUGUGCCAUUGCAGUGUGGAUUUCAAGAGAUUUUAAACGGAAGGCAGAGUAACAGUGUGGUUUGGGAAGCUCUAAAGACAGUUGUCCUGGUGCGGUUUCUUCCAUAAAAGAGUGGGGACGCCAUGGACCUGCUCACCAAAUUCCAGUCCCGACACAGUUCUGUGAGGCACUCUCCACAUCAGGGCAGACGGGCAGGAGGAGUUUACACAGCGAUCUGGGGGCCAUUAGAGCACUGAGGGAUCCAUUGCUGUCUCUUGUUUCUGUUUCCCACACUGUGCUGGGUGCUGGGAACAUGACGAUGAACUUGAAGGAAAUAAUGUGUACGGUGGUUCAUUUCCAAGACAUAGUGCCUUGAAUCAGUUUAGGUCAGCAAACUACAGAAGAAACAGGAUAUACUAGGCCCCUGCUUGGAGAGCUGAUGCCUGUUUGUUGCCCCUCACCCCCUUAGUUGCCCUUACCAGAACCAAAGGAGUUUAGUCUAAGAUGAAAGUUUACUAGCCUGCAAAAUAGCUCACUUUGUCUGUUCUUAUCAGCCUGCCCAGCUACUUAGGUCAUAAGUGAAAUACUUGAAGAGCCCCUGAGCUAACUAGGAUUGCAAUGCAUUGUGGCUGCAACAAGAUGCAGCAAGACAACUGUAAAGAAAAUGCCUAAAACCCCUACCCACCAACCCAUAGGCGAUGUCCAGGAAGACUGUGACCUCCAUAGUACUCAGCAUUUGAGGAACUGGGGGAGGGACCUGUGCACUAGGGGAUAAAUUGCUUGUUGAAACUGUGCUGGGUGUGCCUGUCCAUCAGAUACCCUAUCUUGCAAGACUGUCG